AUUGAACGCUGGCGGCAGGCCUAACACAUGCAAGUCGAGCGGAUGAGUGGAGCUUGCUCCAUGAUUCAGCGGCGGACGGGUGAGUAAUGCCUAGGAAUCUGCCUGGUAGUGGGGGACAACGUUUCGAAAGGAACGCUAAUACCGCAUACGUCCUACGGGAGAAAGUGGGGGAUCUUCGGACCUCACGCUAUCAGAUGAGCCUAGGUCGGAUUAGCUAGUUGGUGAGGUAAAGGCUCACCAAGGCGACGAUCCGUAACUGGUCUGAGAGGAUGAUCAGUCACACUGGAACUGAGACACGGUCCAGACUCCUACGGGAGGAAGCAGUGGGGUAUAUUGGACAAUGGGCGAAAGCCUGAUCCAGCCAUGCCGCGUGUGUGAAGAAGGUCUUCGGAUUGUAAAGCACUUUAAGUUGGGAGGAAGGGCAGUAAGUUAAUACCUUGCUGUUUUGACGUUACCAACAGAAUAAGCACCGGCUAACUUCGUGCCAGCCGCCGCCGUAAGAC
rnacentral:rRNA from 1 species